CCCGCCUCUCGCGACCCUCGGGAUGGGGGCUCUGCCCGCCCCUCCCCGGCCCCUCCCGCCUCCUACCGAAGGGCCGGGCCGGGACCCCGCAGGCUGCCCAGAAUGCAGGAUAAGGAAACUGAGGCGUAGAAAAAUAACUUAUGAAAUAUAAGGUGGCCAAACAGACCUCCACAACUCUAGAAGAAUCGCAGAAUAUGAGAGCUGAAAGUUCUGUAUACUUUAUAGAUAUAUCAUCUAGGAGCCCAAUCUAUCAUGGAUGCAAAAACCAAGCCAGAAAAGUUAUAUAAUUUGUCCGAGGUCAAGUAAUGAAUCUACAGCAUCCUCAUCCACUAAGUUCUCUCUGCUUUUCCUCUCUACUGACUGAUUGACCCCAGGGAGUCUGGGCACGUUGAAAUCAUCUCUGCCAGUAAGGCUCCCAUCUCCUAGGAAAUCUGUCACACUUAGAGUCCAGGGACACUUGUAUACUUAGAGGCUAUUUUAGAGGACUUUGAACAACUACCAAGGAAAAGUUCUGAUUAAAAAUAAUGAUGAUUCAGAAUGAGUAGCUUUUCCCAGGAGUUUUCAAGAGUAAAAAGGCUAGGAAACCAGAGCUUAACUCUUUAGGAAAAAGAAGAUCCUUGCAUUUAAGAUCUCUUGUGAAGCCUGUGUUCUUGCUUCUCCACAGUACUUUAAAAGAACAUAUUCAAUAAUAAACUUUAAGUUCUAAAAAUAUAUUGUUUUAAAUGCCCUCAUGUUUAGGCUGAAAGGUGAUAGGAACUCAAAUAUACCUGUUUAUAGUUUAAAUGUGUCUAUCAUUGUGUUACGUAUAUUUAACAAAAUAUAUCAACUUUUUGAUCAUGAAUUAAUGAUUCUAAAAAUAACCAGUUUACCAAUAAGGAAUGGUGACUUCAAGCACCUUAGGUCAAUAACCACGUCAUUUUCAUCUUUAUAGUGUAAUUUCUUAGAACAACUUUUGGGACAGAGGUGAUGUUCAAUAAUAUUUGUUAAUAAAAGAAGUAGCUUUCCUCAAAUUACAUGAUGCCAGGACUUGGAUACAACAUUCCUAAAUAUGGAACUGCCACUUGGGUUAAAAAGGUGGAAUUGUAAAUAAAAGUCUAAUUGUUUUUUCUUUAAGGAUCUUUUUCAAUGCACUUCUUAAGAGCAACUACCUCUAUUUAAUAAUGUCUUCAUUUCUAUACCCCCUGGUAUUGGCAGUAAUUUGGACAAAUCCUCCUACUAGAUUUGGCACUACUAGAGGGCACUAGAAAAACUUAGCAAAAUAUAAAAAGUAUCAGCAUAAAGGCAUCAGAGAGUUAAUAAGAUGGGAAUUACCAGCCCAGGAUCUGAGGAAUGAUGGAGGCCCAGGGAAGUCCGUUUAUCCUUUCAGUAAGGAUUGCUUUGUUGAACUCUGUUGAAGCUCCCUUGCUUUGGAUGAGGAAUACAAAUGGCUACAUCUUAGCAGUAAAGGGAUGACAUCUCAGUUUCAAAUCAUCUCAACCCUGAGAUUGGAUUAGGGUAAUUCCUUUGGGCUAAUGCCCCCAAGCCCUUGGCAGAAGCAAACUAAAAUCCUCUCAGCAGUAAUGUAAUAUUCUAGGCCUCAAGUCAUUUCCACAAACAAUUCUGCAAAUGCAAUAUCUAGUACAUGAUAAGAAAUAACCAGUCAUGCAAAGAAACAAGAAAAACAGCAGAAACAAUAGACAACAGAAACAGACCCAAAA